GGAUUAAUUAAAUAAGGGCAUAUGGUGGAUGCCUUGACUUGAGAAGGCGAUGAAGGACGUGGCGUGGCUGCGAUAAGCUUCGGGGAGGCGCUUAGCAACCUAUGAUCCGGAGAUUUCCGAAUGGGGAAACCCCGCCGUGCAAACCACGGCGAGCCGUGCUUUGCACAGAAAUCCGAAGUACGAAAUACGAAAUCCGAAACAAAAAGCUUCGAAUUUCGAUAUUCGAAUUUCGAGUUUCCGCGCAGAGCGCGGCGGCGUACCCGCUGAAUUGAAACAUCUUAGUAAGCGGAGGAAAAGAAACCAACAUUCAGCUCUACGCUGUGCUAACUAAGUUACCUGCUCAAUUUUUUGGAUUUGGAGAAUAAAAAAAGAGGACCGUCGCGCGCGGCGGUCCCAGAACUCAAGCACCCCGAGGACAGAAGUCAAGCAAGGGAUGCUGAUAGUAUUAUAGCAUGCUGGUAGGUUUUGUCAAGAGUCCAAAAAUUUGAGCAGGUAUAAGGUUGGAACAGUGUUCUACUGAAUCAUUCCCUUAGUAGCGGCGAGCGAAAAGGGAGGAGCCUAGAGCUCGGGUGUGCAGCAUCGGGAAGCUUCAAAUUUCAAAGUCCAUAUUUCUAUUUUUUUCGCGAAGCAUAUUUCAAAUUAUUUCAGAAAUAUGUGGAAAUAUAUAGAAACUCAGAAAUAUGCGGACAUAUUUUGUCAUUUGGAAUUUCCGCUGCUGUGCAUCUGGGCAGUUGUAAGAUAGUAACGUCUUCCUGAUUUAUCAGAGAGGGGGGGUGUAAGUAAGACUUCGUUAGUAGAACAACUUGGAAAAGUUGGCCAAAGAGGGUGAUAGCCCCGUAUGCGAAAACGGUCUUAUAACCCCAGUUAUUAUCGACUCUUUAGAGUCGGAGCUAUGAUAUUUUUACAUGUCGUAGUUUCUUGAGUACUUCGACGACAGAAAGCGUCGGAGGAAACCGCGAGUACUAUCUCGCAAGGCUAAAUACUUCUCAAGAUCGAUAGUGAACAAGUACCGCGAGGGAAAGGUGAAAAGUAGCCCUAUUAGGGCAGUGAAAUAGUACCUGAAACCAUAUGCUUACAAGGAACCGAGGCUGAGCAUCUCACUGUCGUGAGAUGCGGAAUAUAGAAUCUUGAAUUUUGAAUUUGGAAUGAUUAUUCCAAAUUCUCCCGCCAAUCUCCGAAGGGCGAAGCCCUAGGCAAGAUUGGCGAGGAUCCCGUACUGUCCGCGAUGAAGAUAGGACAAAAUCUUCAUUCGGAGAUUGGCGGGACCCUAGCCAACUGUAGCCGCUCUCCCGCUUUCAGCGGGAUCGCGGACAGUUGCGGGACAACUUCUUCCGCCAAAGGCGGAUCCGCCUCAGGCGGAAAAUUCUGCACCGAACGAGAGUGAGGUGCUUGGUGACGGUGUGCCUAUUGAAGAAUGAGCCAACGACUUUAUCUAUGUUGCAAAGUCUAAUCCCGAAAAGGGAGAAGGCGCAGGGAAACCGAGUGUUAAAAGCGCGUUACUUUAGCUCGAUAGCUUUUUAGCUCAACAGCUCGUUAGUUUUCUAUCGAGCUAACGAGCUAAUCGGCUAACGAGCUUAAGUUAGCAGCAUGGAUAAGACCCGAAACCAGAUGAGCUUGCCAUGGCCAGGAUGAACGCCGGGUAACACCGUCGGGAGGUCCGAACCGGUGGGUUGUGCAAAACCCUCGGAUGAGCUGUGGUAAGGAGUGAAAAGCUAAUCGAAUCUGGUAAUAGCUGGUUCUCCCCGAAAUCGCUUUAGGGCUAGCGGCGUUUUAUGUCAUGCCGGAGGUAGAGCUACUGGAUGAUCCUCAAAGGGCGAAAGCUCGGAUGAUCAAUCAAACUCCGAAUGCCGGCAGGAUUACAACGCUAGUUAGACCGUGGGGGCUAAGCUCCAUGGUCGAGAGGGAAACAGCCCAGAUCGCCGUCUAAGGUCCCUAAAUUCUUGCUAAGUGUAAAAGGUAGUAAUCAGCCGAAGACAGGUAGGAGGUUGGCUUAGAGGUAGCCAUCCUUUAAAGAGUGUGUAACAACUCACUAUCAUAUCGGCCGCAUCUCACUAAGGCGAGAUACUUGAAUGACCAAUUUCUAAUUGACCUAAUUUCUAAUAAAUUUCCAAUACCCAAUUUCGGAAUUCGGUUACUGGGAUUUAUUUAGAAAUUAGAAGUUAGGAUUUAGAAAUUUGAGCACCGAACUUUAGUGAGGUGCGGUUGAUUGGCUGGUUGCGCCGAAAAUGUACCGGGGCUAAGCAAGAUACCGAAGACGCGAAUUACCUGCUCAAAUUUUUGGACUAAUAAAAUAAUAAAAAAGAGGCCACCCAUUGACGAAUGACCCCUGACCUGACUCGUGGAAGUUCUUGUUAGACGACUAUGGUCGUAACGACCGCGACGAUCACCCAAGAGCCGUAGAUGAGUGUUCCUUUCAUGGGUUCAACUCUCCACGCUUCGAUCAUGCGGCUUUCCGUAGCUCAUGAUCAUUGAGAUCGUUAUCGCCCCAAAGACUAAUGCCGAAACAAGUGAAGAAGUCGGUUCCACGACAAGCUCCUUGAUUGAGGGUUCGUUGCAAUUAUAGCAUAAAGUUAAGUUUUUUGUCGAGAGUCCAAAAAUUUGAGCAGGUAGUGGUAGGGGAGCAUUUUGUGCGCAGCGAAGGUUGACCCGCGAGGGCGACUGGAGCGCACAGAAGAGAGAAUGUUGGCAUGAGUAACCAACAAUGCCGAUGAGAAAUCGGCACUCCGUAAGCCCAAGGUUUCCGUGGCAAUGGCAAUCAACCACGGGUGAGGCGGUCCUAAGCCGAUGGCGAAAGCCGAAGGUGAUGGACAGACGGUUAAUAUUCCGUCCCACCGAUACUAUUUCGAUGGAGCGACGGUUGAAAUAAGGCCGGGCGUCUUAAUGGUUUGACGCUGUUUGCUUGAAGGAAUGUUGGACAGGCAAAUCCGUUCAACUGUCUUUUAUGGCAAAUUCCGAAAGCAGACGAAAGUUUUGGUUUUUACCAGGGCAAUCCGGCUGAAGAGCGAUCCAAGAAAAACUUCUAGAGUUAAUAGUAUUGGUUCCGUACCGCAAUCCGACACUGGUGGGCGGGGCGAGUAGCCCAAGGAGAACGAGUGAGUCCUCGUUAAGGAACUCGGCAAAAAAGCGGCCGUAAGUUAGCGAUAAGGCCUUCCCGAGCACCGCAAGGUGCGAGGGACGCAGCGAAAGUUUGCCUGGCGACUGUUUAUCAAAAACACAGCUCCCUGCUAACUCGUAAGAGGAUGUAUAGGGGGUGACGCCUGACCGAUGCGAGAAGGUUAAACGAUGGGGGUCGUAUGCAUCUCACUAAGGCGAGAUACUUGAAUGACCAAUUUCUAAUUGACCUAAUUUCUAAUAAAUUUCCAAUACCCAAUUUCGGAAUUCGGUUACUGGGAUUUAUUUAGAAAUUAGAAGUUAGGAUUUAGAAAUUUGAGCACCGAACUUUAGUGAGGUGUGUACGGCUCACUGUUGUAAGCCCUCGUCAAUGUCAGCGAUAACUAUAAUCGUUCUAAGGUAGCGCAAUUCCUUUCCGGGUAAGUUCCGGAGCGCACGAAAGGCGUAACGACUGGGCAACUGUCUCAACGAGGAGCUCGGUGAAAAUGCGAUCCCCGUGAAGACGCGGGGUACCUGCGGCAAGACGAAAAGACCCUAGAAGCUUUACUGUAGCUUGGUAUUGGUCUUAUGGUUUUAAUGCGUAGCGUAGCGGGGAGGCUUUGAAGGCCUGCUUUCGGGCGGACUGGAGCCGCCAAUGAAACACCCGUCUUUAAAACUGUAAGCUCUAACGAAUUGGGAAUUGGUUUUCCAUAAACCCAGUUUGGACAGUGCCUGGUGGGCAGUUUAAAUGGGGCGUUUUCCUUAAACGUAGUUCCACCUCCGUGGAACUACAGGGGGACACCGCCAAGCGGCGGUGAAAAUCUGGUGUAUAUGCUGGAACAUCCGUGGUGUCUUCAAGUACCUUCUAGUCGAGAAGGUGAAAAUCUUGGAGCGGUUUCCGAUUAAAAUCGGAGCGGCGGACAAUCAGCAGGGAACCGUGGCGCAUGUUCUGUGCCCGGAACACCUCAGAGACCACAAGCCAGAACGGCUAUUUCGGUAGCUGUAUGAUAUGGUCCGAACUGCAUAGCGAUAUGCAGGCCGUGCGAUACGCGCGGCGAACCUAAUGAAAUGAGAUCAAACGAGAUUGAAAGUUUCAAAAAGAAAUUGAAACUCAAUAAAAAACAGAGAUCUAUUCUUGUUGGAUUGCUUUUAGGCGAUGGUCAUUUGGAAACAAGCAAUCGCAGUCGAACAUACCGUCUUAAAGUAGAACAUUCCUUGAAACAAAAAGAAUAUGUAAAUUGGUUGUAUGAGGAAUUUAAGAAUCUUGUUCGUACAACUCCGCAAGUUAAAAUGCGAAAGAGAGCACAAGACAGCUACUGGUUUUCUACAUAUUCUCUUGGGGCGUUUCGUUUUUACGCCCAGCAGUUUUAUGAGGGCGGGAAGAAACGAAUUCCGAAAUUGAUUUCGAAGUUGCUCGAUCCAUUGGCACUCGCGAUAUGGUUUAUGGAUGAUGGAUCUUACAAAUCCGAAAAGCAUAAAACCUACAUUAUUCAUGCACUCGGAUAUGGCAAGAAAGAUCUUGAGUUAAUAAAGGACGUGCUUCAGAAAAAGUUUGACGUUGAGAUUGGACUACAUAAGCAAUACGACAGAUGGCGAAUUUAUAUUUAUAGCGAUUCGGCCAAAAAAUUCGCAGAACUUAUUGGUUCGUACGUCAUACCGUCACUGAAGUACAAAUUAGGGAACACAUUGCCUAAAAAGUAACGGAGGAGUUUAUUAAGGUCGGCUUAGCUCGGAUGGAAAUCGAGCUGGACGCGUAAAGGCAAAAGCCGGCUUAACAGCAAGACCUACAAGUCGCGCUGGUGCGAAAGCAGAACUUAGUGACCCGACGGCUCUUCAUAGGAAGGCCGGAGACACCGGAUAAAAGUUACUCUAGGGAUAACAGGCUAGUCUGGCCCGAGAGUUCCUAUCGACGGCCAGGCUCGGCACCUUAACUUAAAUCGGGGUGCUAUGACAGCAAUGUCAUACCUUUCGGUACUGAAACGAUGUGUUCGGUACUCGAAGAAUAAAAAUCUGACUUAUAACGGCGGACUCCAUAUGAUACGAUUAUCGUAUGGACAAUGCCGUGGGAAGUUUAACUCAAUUCCAAAAAUCAUUGAUCAUUGGAACAAUUUUGGGAGAUGGUUACUUGCGUAUAUUACCGAGGAGCAAGAACGCAUUGCUAGAAAUCAAUCAUUCUUACAAUCAAAAAGAAUAUGUUGAUUGGAAAUAUCGGUUAUUGAAAGAUGUUUCAGCCUCAGCUCCUAAAAUAAGAAAGGGAAAUGGAAACAGAAUUGCCUAUCGUUUCUACACCAGGCAGCUUGAAGGCCUAUCUAAACUUUAUAGAAUGUUUUAUCGGAAUGGUAAAAAAAUCAUUCCGGAUGAACUCAAUUUAGAUGUGGUCAGUCUAGCGGUUUGGUAUAUGGACGAUGGGAGCAGAUGUAGAUCUUCUGAUGUGUAUCUGAACUCUCAGCAGUUCGAUGUCAGUGAUCAGAAAAGGUUGAUCGCAGUUUUAAGAAAGAUGAAUUUAGAAACUAGCCUAAAUAGAGACAAAAACUAUUUUAGAUUACGUUUUAAAAAAUCAUCUUUAUCCAGGCUUAGAGAACUUUUGGCUGAUGCAGUUAUUCCAUCAAUGAAGUACAAAAUUGAGUUAUAACCCCGUAGAGACUUUCCGAUUUAUUCGGAAGAGUCAAAUUUUUAAAGAUUUGACUAAUACGUCAGCGCCAUUACUUGAAAGUAAAAAUAAUUGGAUGAAGACAUAGUCCACACUGUUAGUAAUAACGGAACAAUGUACGAUGUCGGCUCACCCUAGCGCCCCGCUGGAGAAGGUGGGAAGCGUAUGGCUGUUCGCCAUUUAAAAGGGUACGUGAAAGUUCGCGUCUUCCUCGAGUAAUCGAGGAAUGUGAAUCAACUUAUAUCGGUGGAGCCCUAGAAUCUCGAACCCGAUUUUAGGAUAAUACCGAGGGAAGAUUAGUGGAAAAAAGCGAUGCGGUAUAAAUUUCCACUAUAUCCCCGUAACGACUUCUUCGAUAUUAAUAUCGAAGGGAGUAAGGUGAAAUAUCCUUGCUAAUACGUUGAUAUCCCAUAUCCAUAAUGGGAUAGUGAUAUAGUCUAUUCUCUUGGUAACAAGAGGUAAUAAAUGGAGCUGGGUUCAGACCGUCGUGAGACAGGUCGGUCUCUAUCUGCCGCAGGCGUUGAUACUUGAAGGGAGUCGUCCCUAGUAAACGAAAAUUGCUACUUCUCGCAGUAAUGCGAGAUGACAAUUCGGCUAAUAACGGUGAAGGCUUUAGUUUGUAAAAGUUUUGCGGUCCAAAACUUUUGGAUAAACGAACUAGAGUUAAUACCGUGGGAAGUUACCCUGAGUUUAUCGAAGGGUUGACCCCGUAACGACUGACCGAAGCACAUAAGUUUAUGUGCCCGGGAGAUAGAUGUUUUUGAACAUCUAUAAUACGCCGAUACCCAAACCUGCCAUUCGCCAACCGGCGAAGACUGGACGGGUAAAGAUAUAGUCUGCACACAUAGUGAUAUGUGAUUAUGUGACGAGAGGACCGGGAUGAACGAACCUCUGGUCUGCCGGCUCUGCCACCAGGUGGAACGCCGGGUAGCUAUGUUCGGACGGGAUAAGCGCUGAAAGCAUCUAAGCGCGAAGCCUCCCCUAAGAUAAGGUAUCGUUUGAGGAUCGUGGAAGACUACCACGUAAA
rnacentral:rRNA from 1 species